CGGCAGACAUGUUGCAGCUGAUUGAAUCAUGCUGGAGUGAAACCAAGUCUUCUGUGAUACAAGAUCAGAGGAGUGAGCCAAGCCUUGGGCUGCCAAUGGAGGAUGUGAAGUCAAGCCAGGGAGCCAAGGCCACUGUCAGCUCUCUCAGUGGUUAGAAUAACCCAAUAAAUUCUGCAGGGAACUGGGCUGGGACUGGACCAGUGCUGGCAAAGAGUACAAGUGAGAGAUUCACAGAUUCUGAUUGGUUGUUCCAGGAGGAAUAAACGAUGUGAAGCUGGGCUCAGAGAAGGGGUCGCUGUGUUUUAUGAGCCAUUAAAGUUUUAUUCAUCCCUGCACCGAGGCAGCCUUCGGCCAUGGGGUCACCAUGCUUUAAAUAAACUCCCAUCAUUCCUCUCCCCCCACCUCCCCAAUAUCUGCCUUCCCACCCCCUGCUCCCCCAACCCUUUCACCCACAGACUUAAUGGACUGUUUAUUGUUUGAUGUUCAAGUCCGACUUCAUCAUUUUUUCCCUCUCUCGCGCUCUUUCUCUGUUUUCCGCUCUCCACUAGUGUUUAGCGGUAUGGAGGUUUGACUGAUGCGGUUUGUCCGUGUAUUUGUGUUAUAUGUGUGGUUCAUUUUGCGUGUGAGUGCGAGUCCUUGCAUGUAUGGGCUCUGCAUACAUGCAGACUGUCUAUAAAUUCCUUUGGUGUGCCAUGUUUUCCUCUUUAUAACAUCUUCCCUCCACUGUUUCAUGAGUGGAUGCAAGAUUUUACGGCGUGUGUGAAUGUUUAGUUUUUAAAAACGAGGAAAGGAAAGGAAAGGAAACCACACUGUUGCACUAGUGAUGUCCAAUGUCUUCAUUACUUGAUCGUGAGCAUGGCUACCAAUAACCAUUUUAAAGCAAAG